GUUUCAUUUUCAAUCAGAUGUAACUUACUUUAAAAGUUUUUAUCUCCUGCUUUGUAAAUUUAAUGUUUAUCACACAGAUGAGGCUUUUUCAGGGUCUUGAAGGCUAUUAAUAGAGCAGGAGAUGAUAAAUUUGAAACUAAAUAGAAUGUGCAAUAAAGGAAGUAUCAAAAUUAGAUGACUCUUUACAGGAAGUGUUUAGAGAGGCUGUGUAAGUCACAUGCAGGGAGAAGUGACUAGGGCUGAAUAAACAAAUUAAGGGGGUAAGACGAAGUAAUAUCAGGAUUGUCAUUACGGCCUUUAUACGUCCGAGGCCUACCGAGCUUCAGGCGCCGACAGUAAGGAGAGGCAGCUGAUCCUCUGACACCAAGCAAAUAACUUGGUGCGGAACACCCAGAGCCCUUCCCACCCUCCUCCCCUUGAACCGGCAGGGGAUAUCCCAGUCCCCACUGGGCCACAAAGC